CAUUAACUGAAUCCAUAGGUUAAUGAGGCGAACCGGGGGAACUGAAACAUCUAAGUACCCCGAGGAAAAGAAAUCAACCGAGAUUCCCCCAGUAGCGGCGAGCGAACGGGGAGGAGCCCAGAGCCUGAAUCAGCAUGUGUGUUAGUGGAAGCGUCUGGAAAGGCGCGCGAUACAGGGUGACAGCCCCGUACACAAAAGCGCAUGUGCUGUGAGCUCGAUGAGUAGGGCGGGACACGUGGUAUCCUGUCUGAAUAUGGGGGGACCAUCCUCCAAGGCUAAAUACUCCUGACUGACCGAUAGUGAACCAGUACCGUGAGGGAAAGGCGAAAAGAACCCCGGCGAGGGGAGUGAAAAAGAACCUGAAACCGUGUACGUACAAGCAGUGGGAGCACCCUUUGGGUGUGACUGCGUACCUUUUGUAUAAUGGGUCAGCGACUUAUAUUCUGUAGCAAGGUUAACCGAAUAGGGGAGCCGGAGGGAAACCGAGUCUUAACCGGGCGUUAAGUUGCAGGGUAUAGACCCGAAACCCGGUGAUCUAGCCAUGGGCAGGUUGAAGGUUGGGUAACACUAACUGGAGGACCGAACCGACUAAUGUUGAAAAAUUAGCGGAUGACCUGUGGCUGGGGGUGAAAGGCCAAUCAAACCGGGAGAUAGCUGGUUCUCCCCGAAAGCUAUUUAGGUAGCGCCUCGUGAAUUCAUCUCCGGGGGUAGAGCACUGUUUCGGCUAGGGGGCCAUCCCGGCUUACCAACCCGAUGCAAACUGCGAAUACCGGAGAAUGUUAUCACGGGAGACACACGGCGGGUGCUAACGUCCGUCGUGAAGAGGGAAACAACCCAGACCGCCAGCUAAGGUCCCAAAGUCAUGGUUAAGUGGGAAACGAUGUGGGAAGGCCCAGACAGCCAGGAUGUUGGCUUAGAAGCAGCCAUCAUUUAAAGAAAGCGUAAUAGCUCACUGGUCGAGUCGGCCUGCGCGGAAGAUGUAACGGGGCUAAACCAUGCACCGAAGCUGCGGCAGCGACACUGUGUGUUGUUGGGUA
rnacentral:rRNA from 1 species